rnacentral:rRNA from 1 species
GACGAACGCUGGCGGCGUGCUUAACACAUGCAAGUCGAACGGAAAGGCCCUGCUUUUGUGGGGUGCUCGAGUGGCGAACGGGUGAGUAACACGUGGGUAACCUGCCCUUGACUUUGGGAUAACUUCAGGAAACUGGGGCUAAUACCGGAUAGGAGCUCCUGCUGCAUGGUGGGGGUUGGAAAGUUUCGGCGGUUGGGGAUGGACUCGCGGCUUAUCAGCUUGUUGGUGGGGUAGUGGCUUACCAAGGCUUUGACGGGUAGCCGGCCUGAGAGGGUGACCGGCCACUUGGGGAUUGAGCUCCGCCCCGGCCCCCUGCGGGGGGCAGCGGGGGGGAUUUUUGAACAGGGGGGGGAGGCUGGAGGCAGCAACCCCGGGGGCGGGAGGGCGCCUUUCGGUUGGUAACCCGCUUUCCCCUGUGACGAGGGGGGGGUGAGGGGAAUGGUAAAAGAAGCCCCGGCUAACUACGU